rnacentral:lncRNA from 1 species
CUGACCUUUCCCGCCCGAUUGCAGGUUCUUUUCCUGUGACAUGGACACGGGUGCAGAAACAUUUCUCCACUCCGAAACAGACACAGCGCAAGCAUGAUGACCUUCACAACGGCCCGCGUCCUCAGCAGGGAGCAGGACGGAGGCGAGGAGAUUGGCUGUGGGUAAGCGCAAGAAAGGGGCACAAUGAUGCAGGACUUUCCAUACCGGCCGUCGCCCCUCUGAGAGAAAGACAACGCAGGCGAGAAGGAUGCAGAAGUCCAAGAUGUACUGCACUUUUGAAGAAGGAGAUCAAGGAAGGCUUAACGGAGGUACUGGAGAUAAACAAACCGAUGAAUGAACAAAGUCCUUUCUUCUAAGGAAAGAAAGAUAAUAAUGAAGAACCAAGUAAGAGAAUGUCAGAUCGUGGUUCCUUGCAACAAAGGACAUAAACCAAGGAAACUGUGCCAAGGACCCCUGUAGACCUAAAAUGAAGAUAUGCUGGAUUUCUGCCUUUACAAUGUGGAGGAGUCUGCGCGGAGCAGAAACUCGGCAGGUGCCGAAGGAGAAACGAGUGGCUCACGUCGAAG